GGAUCUCGUAGGUGACCUGCGGAGGGUCAUUACACAAAUAUGAAGGCGGGCUGGAACCUCUCGGGGUUACAGCCUUGCUGAAUUAUUCACCCUUGUCUUUUGCGUACUUCUUGUUUCCUUGGUGGGUUCGCCCACCACUAGGACAAACAUAAACCUUUUGUAAUUGCAAUCAGCGUCAGUAACAAAUUAAUAAUUACAACUUUCAACAACGGAUCUCUUGGUUCUGGCAUCGAUGAAGAACGCAGCGAAAUGCGAUAAGUAGUGUGAAUUGCAGAAUUCAGUGAAUCAUCGAAUCUUUGAACGCACAUUGCGCCCUUUGGUAUUCCAAAGGGCAUGCCUGUUCGAGCGUCAUUUGUACCCUCAAGCUUUGCUUGGUGUUGGGCGUCUUGUCUCUAGCUUUGCUGGAGACUCGCCUUAAAGUAAUUGGCAGCCGGCCUACUGGUUUCGGAGCGCAGCACAAGUCGCACUCUCUAUCAGCAAAGGUCUAGCAUCCAUUAAGCCUUUUUUUCAACUUUUGACCUCGGAUCAGGUAGGGAUACCCGCUGAACUUAA
rnacentral:rRNA from 1 species